rnacentral:rRNA from 1 species
GAUGAACGCUGGCGGCGUGCCUAAUACAUGCAAGUAGAACGCUGAAGGAAGGAGCUUGCUCUUUCCGGAUGAGUUGCGAACGGGUGAGUAACGCGUAGGUAACCUGCCUGGUAGCGGGGGAUAACUAUUGGAAACGAUAGCUAAUACCGCAUAACAGUAGAUGUUGCAUGAUAUCUACUUAAAAGGUGCAAUUGCACCACUACCAGAUGGACCUGCGUUGUAUUAGCUAGUUGGUGAGGUAACGGCUCACCAAGGCGACGAUACAUAGCCGACCUGAGAGGGUGACCGCCCACACUGGAAUGGGGACACGGCCCAGCCCCCAACGGGAGGAGCAGUAGGGAAUCUUCGGCAAUGGACGGAAGUCUGACCGAGCAACGCCGCGUGAGUGAAGAAGGUUUUCGGAUCGUAAAGCUCUGUUGUAAGAGAAGAACGAGUGUGAGAGUGGAAAGUUCACACUGUGACGGUAUCUUACCAGAAAGGGACGGCUAACUACGUG